rnacentral:lncRNA from 1 species
GACAUUUCUUGCAAAUACCCCUUCCAAUGUCCAUCCUUUCAUAAAGAAAGUUUGUUCCCUUGGAGUUAAUUUAAUCUUCUUCAUUUGACUUCUCCUUUGACUACAAUAGUCAUGGUCCCUAAACUCCCACUAUCUUUCUUGAAACCUUUUUCAAUUGUGUUAUACACAUCAAACAAUUUGGAGAGCUUGUGGUUAUUGUUCACUACAUAGUUUACAAUAAACUUAGUGAACCAUUAGGAUAGGGAAACAAAAGUGAAGUCCUUGCCUAGUUUCCAUCUCGUUAAGUGGUUUAUCACUUCAACACUCAAUGAUUCAAAAUCAUCAUAAGUCCAUGUUGAUGGACUAUUUUUGUCAACCAACCAUUAUGUUCUAAACAUAAUUACAAACUUUCAAGAGUUGUACAAGGCAAAUCUCAUUUCUUCAUACAACAAUUUGUAAGUGAAGAAUCAUGGCACUUUAAGAAUCAUUUCUCCAAGGGGCCGGCCUCUUUAGAGAGAAAUGGAGAGACAUGUUCUCUCCAAUUUUCUCCAAAACAAACCCUAAAUGAAUUUUGGCUAUAAAGUCAUAUUUAUACCUUUAUUCAUUUGAGUGGCAAACUUGUAAAUAAGUCCAAGUUCACUACCCUUAACCAUAUGGCCGGCCUUAGGGUGUUGUUUGGGCUUUUGUGAAUUAAGUUGUCAUACAACUUAAGUCAAUGGGCUUGACGUUCGAAGCCCAUUGGGCCUAAACGUCCAAAACUAUCCCGAGGUCUUUAACGAACUUAUUCGUUUGAUUAAUUAACAUAUUAAUUAAUCCUUGCCAUAAAUAAUUAAACCAUUUAAUUAUUCGUACUCAUCUCCAUUGUUUCUUCAAUCUCCACCUUACACGGUGUACGAUCCAUUAGGUUCCUUUUAGCGAGGCAGUGGGCGAUUCAAACUCUUUCAAAUCGAUCGUGAAUUGAAACUUACUUUCAAUUCUCCCUUUAGUGAUUAUACACGUUUAGGGCUUCCACAAACCAAGAGUGACACCUAGCAGCAUAUCAUGGUUACCCAAGUUAAUCAGAAGAGGUGGAGAACCUAUUCAGUUUAGGAUUACAAAUGCAAUACGGUCUUUCUCUAAUACAAUACUCUUGACCUCAUUGUUUGGUUUGAUAGUUUAUUUAUUCAUGUCUACUAUCCAAUGUGAUUCGUGUGCUUAUAUG